CCCUCAUCAGUUUACCUGUGUCUGAUUGUCCUGUCUUAGACACAGGUGAAACUGCCUUUAGUCCCUCUGUUGUACUGUGACAGUACUCUUCUGUGUCUGUAUUCCUGGUGUUCCCUGGUCUGGAUUUUUGUUUAUAUGGACUUCUGUUGGACGUUUGAUUUAUUCUUGGACUUCUGUUGGACUUUGUUUUGCCUGGAUUUCCCAGCUACUUUGUAGUAUUUUGUGUCUUCCUCCUGAUUCUGAAGUCGCUGCUUUGACCUGAGAAAUCGGUGGGGGUUGAUAAACUGGGAGCAUGUCAGAUAUAAAACCUGGAGUCAGACCAUUAAGUGCUGUGUGUAGACCAGGAGCAAAAGGAGCACUUGACCCAGAUUUGUAUCUGUGGAAAUUUAAUCGAAACUUACCUGACGAGGUGCAGAAAGGCAUAGCUGGUAUUUUAAAAAGGCUUUUCAUGUGAUUUAGCUUCAGAGUUCAGUGAGGAUAUGAAAGGAUCAUCACAGAGUGCUUUUUAGAUACUCAUUGACCCAGCUGGAUCAGUGCUUGUAAGUCUUAUGUCAGGAGUGAAUAGCUUGAAAGACCUGAACCCUCAUCUCUCUGGUGUCCUCCUGUUCAAUAUCGGCCUCCUCCACUUGC